rnacentral:piRNA from 1 species
UGAGUGUAGUGUGGUAGGACCCCGGC